rnacentral:lncRNA from 1 species
ACAAGGCAGUCUUCUUCCAUACUAUAAAUCUCAAUCCUAUUUGCCUGCAUAUUCAAAGAUAAUUUAGAUGCAUUUCCAGGCUACGAAACACUCCUCCCCCUCAUCCAUCAACACAUAAAUUGGACAUUGUGCCUUAUUUCAGUUCAAGUCGACAUGCUUACCAUUCAUUCCCCAUUUCCAAAUAGAAGCAACAGAGAAAGCAAAAGAUGCAUUAUUUGAAGCACUAUAGAUUGUUUGGUCAAAAUCAUGUAGAGAGAGAGAGAGAGAGAGAGACGGCNUGUAGAGAGAGAGAGAGAGAGAGAGAGGCCAUUUUCUGACCUUAGAAAAAAAAAGAAGAAAAAGGCAUUAGAACUGUCAUGUCUCUAUUGGUCAUGGAGCAACAUAUCAUAUUCAAUAUGCCUUUCUCAAUUGACUUUUUUAUAUGAUCAGGUUUUGAAUUCUCACACAAUUUACUGCUUUUCUUUCAAGGGUAUCAAUCAUCAUCAUCAAUGCACACCUAGUGCUUUUACUUCAUAAUACUGAAAACAAUAUAUCCACUAUCCUUUUGUUUGGUGGGCUCAAACAUUCCAUUACCGUUGUUAUUUUGUUCAUCAGAGCCUCUUUUUUUUUUUUUCAUUUUUAUGGUUGGAUGUCAUCAAAUUCACAUGUCAACAGUGGCAUUGUCCUUGAAAAUCCCUACACAUUUUCUUAGAUAAUAAUUGCUUCUGUUGAAAACAGAUUGUGGACUGAAUUUGAUCAUUAAAAAAAAAUCUGUUAC